rnacentral:tRNA from 1 species
GCUCAGUCGGUAGAGCAUGGGACUCUUAAUCCCAGGGUUGUGGGUUGGAGCCCCAC